rnacentral:lncRNA from 1 species
UCAAAACAUGUAACAUAUUAAGUUAAGAUUCAUAAUAUGGCUUAAGGAACUAAAGUUUUUAGCAUCUAAUAUUUUAAGUUAGUCAAUUGAAGCAUUAUGUUGCCUAAAGUAACCUCUAUUGUGUAGAUUGAUUAAUCUUGAAAUAUAAGAUGACUGUGGAUGUUAGUCUUCCAUGCGUUUAACACCGGCCCAAAGGAAGGU